rnacentral:misc_RNA from 1 species
AAGUCGUAACAAGGUUUCCGUAGGUGAACCUGCGGAAGGAUCAUUAACACGUGUCACACACGUCCCGUCCCUUUCAACCAAACCGUGAACUGUACCGCGCCCUACCACGUCCGCUGGAUCCUGGAUCCGAGUGCAUGUCUGGGUGUGACUCGCUGAAGAAGGACUUUGCGCACGCAUGAGGCCUUCGGAUGCAUCACACCUGGCUUCGAGCCCCGCCUUAGCGCUUGCAGAGGCGGGCUAGGCCGGCGGAAGUGGUUUCUAAACACAAGGUCGCUCGCGGCACGCCGAGCGGCCUUUGGCAAGUCAUACUGUGUGUGUGACGAGCCUCGUAUUUUAACCCCAACCCCAAAAAACAAUGACUAAACUUUGGUCUUCUCCGGAAGCCAAUUAUGUAACCUCGAACAACUCUUAGCAGUGGAUAUCUCGGCUCUC